GGUCGUGUGACCCGCGCACCUCGCAACCGAAUCCAUCGAGCUCUCCUAGGAAUCCGGCGACCCUUGUUCCGAUUCCCUCCCAACCGACUGUAAAAAAGCGGGUGCUAGAGACCCCUCCCACUCGCCCGUCCUUAUCGUAGCAGGCCGGGAGCCCUCAGCCGCAGAGCGAAAGCCGGGAAGAAAGCUCCGUCGUGGUGCAGCUCGUUGUGUUUAUGCCUUGGCGCAUGGGUGCUCGGGAUGUUUCGUUGAAUGCCUGUGGAUGUUGCCGUGUGGAGUUGGGGGGCUACAGACGAUCGAUGUUCAACGAAUUUCUCCCCGGAGAUUAACUCCGCCGCAGAUCAAGGCUAUCCUGUGGCCAGUAGUCUUUAUCGCACCAAUUCCGGUGAGUUUCCUCCCAUUCGAUUCGUGCUGGCAUUAGAGUCGUUUAGCGCAUUUUAAUUUAUCAAUUAGUGCACCAAGGCGCGAUGGCGGAUUUGCCGGUCAUGGCGCCACCGUUAGGGCUGGCGACGUCGCCGUCGGGAUGGUUAAAGGAGAGAAGAAAGGGUGCGACCGUUGAUAUUGGGAUUAACAGUAGAGAUCUGAUCCAUGUACCGGUUUAGGAUGAUGCAACCGUAGCCGUCCGAUCUGGAUCCCGCGACCUAGAUUCGAUCUCGGACACUUUCAAUCAAUGUCGUGGAUCUUUGAUCUAACGGACAUCAGGGCGUACCGGUUCGAGUAAUGGGAAAUCUAAUCUGAGGCGCAAAUUUCUGACCUGACGACCCACUAUCGUCGAUACCCCUUCGAUCUGGAAAUCUUUCUAAAGAGCCCCAUUCCUUUUGUCAUAUCAAACUGCAGUCUACUGGAUAUGUAAAGUAAUUACAGACAAGUCCUGUAAACCUAUAAACAGAACCCUGAACUCUCUGGUUAUUGUGCGCGCAGUCCUGAAAUCUGAUAAAAUAGGAAAAAGGAUUUAGGAAAUUGAUUUCUAGUGCCAAAAUAAUUCCAGAACUUGUAUAAUUCAUAGAAAAUUCAUUUUAGCUCCUUUUUAACCCAUUACAGUUGCAAUAAUUUUGUAUUAAUAUUGUCUAUCAACUAGUAACAAUGUUUAGCCAUGUAACUUGGAAUAAAAUUGUUCAUUUGAAUUAAUCUAUUCUAUGUGCUUAAUAACUUCAUAAAUUCAUCACUUAAUAAUCGUAGCUCCGAAUUUAGUAAUUCUUGUUCCUACGAUCUCAUUACAACACGUGGAAUAUUCUUAUGCAGUUUGUUCUUCUGUUUGGUGUGAUGUUAAUUUUUCCUAUACACUGUUUGUUUGUAUUGCUACGACUAGCGCGAGGUUACGAGUCACUUGAAGAGCAAGUUGGUACCUACAAUCUCAAGUUUCAGGCAAGUUGUGCCCUUGAUCACUUCUUUUACCCUAUCAUGUUCUCAAUAAUUAUAAUUAUUUGCAUAGGUUAAUUUUGAUGGGACCCAAUAGAUUACCCUAGUUUGACUAUCUUUAUACCUUGUUUACCACUGAAUUUUGGGUAGUACCUGCUAUUGCUUUAUGUGGUUUUGGGUAUAGAGAUACACAUUAUUCAUGAUUAUACUUUUAUUAUCAGUUGUUAUUUACUGUUCAUGAUAAAUCAUUAUGUUAAUUGGAACAUGGAGAACCACCCGGGAAAACAGUGCUAUCACAAGGGUGGUAUGGGACGCCCUUGGCUGACUAAUUAGUAAAGCUAGUGGAGGACUAAACAGUGCUAUCACAAGGGCAGUAUGGGAGUGGUCAGUGUGGGGAGGCCCUUGGGUUGAUUUUGCUGCGAUGGCGGUCAGGCGAGGGGUCCCUGCAUUGGAGCUUCCUAGAAACUGUAGCGGGUUUUCUGAAGCUAGUGGAACUUUGUAAAGGCCUCGUAGUGUUACCCUGCCUCGCCUCCUCGGUAGAGGUGUAUGGGAGUCGCUAUCCCUUGGCAAAUGGGUAACAUGACUUGUGUGUAAAGAUGCGCAACCUCUGUAGAGUGUAAAACUGGUAUACUAGCCGCGCUCACGGUCAUGAGCAGCUCGGACACUCACAUGAUUAAUUUAUCGAACUAAAUUCAAUUUAUCAUAUGCAUUGCAUCGCAUGUGUUGUUAUCAAAUUUUGUUCUACUACUUAAUUUGGUUGGUAUUUACUUAUACUUAGUAAUUGCUAAUAAAAUUUUGAUCAACUUUAAAAGCAAUGCUCAGCUUCAACCAUCCUUUUUGGUAAGUCUUACACUUCACAUGAACUCCCACCUUUGGUGAGUUUUUACACAUUAUUCCCCACAACUUGUUGAACAAUGAAUGUAUGUGAGCUCACUCUUACUGUCUCACACCCCCUCCACUGGUCAAGAACAGGUACCGCGGGAUGUGGCGCAUGGCAGAUGUUGUGAUGUGUUCGUGAGAGGUCUAGGUCGUCGUCUCCCAGUCAACUUUGGGUUGCUAGAUCGUUGUCUUCAUGUGAUGUAAUUAUAUAUUUAUUCUGUACAGAACUCCUAUUAUAUAGUAAAGAUGUGACAUUUGUUUCCAUACCACUAUUCAUCAUAUGUGUGAGACUUGGUCCCAGCACACCUGGUGCUUAUUUCGCGCCCGGGUUUUG
rnacentral:lncRNA from 1 species